CGUAGGGUGCGAGCGUUAAUCGGAAUUACUGGGCGUAAAGCGUGCGCAGGCGGUUUGCUAAGACAGGUGUGAAAUCCCCGGGCUUAACCUGGGAAACUGCGCUUGUGACUGGCAGGCUAGAGUACGGUAGAGGGGGGUGGAAUUCCUGGUGUAGCAGUGAAAUGCGUAGAUAUCAGGAGGAACACCGAUGGCGAAGGCAGCCCCCUGGGCCUGUACUGACGCUCAUGCACGAAAGCGUGGGGAGCAAACAGGAUUAGAUACCCU
rnacentral:rRNA from 1 species